AGUAGCGAAGUUCCUGAUGUCACACUGCCAAGAAAAGCUUCUAGUGAGAAAGUAACUGCCCGUACCGCAAACCGACACAGGUAGUUGAGGAGAGAAUCCUAAGGUGUGCGAGAGAACUCUCGUUAAGGAACUCGGCAAAAUGACCCCGUAACUUCGGGAGAAGGGGUGCUGACCGCAUGGUCAGCCGCAGUGAAUAGGCCCAAGCGACUGUUUAUCAAAAACACAGGUCUCUGCGAAAUCGAAAGAUGACGUAUAGGGGCUGACGCCUGCCCGGUGCUGGAAGGUUAAGAGGAGAGGUUAGCGCAAGCGAAGCUUUGAAUUGAAGCCCCAGUAAACGGCGGCCGUAACAAUAACGGUCCUAAGGUAGCGAAAUUCCUUGUCGGGUAAGUUCCGACCCGCACGAAAGGCGUAACGAUUUGGGCACUGUCUCAACGAGAGACUCGGUGAAAUUAUAGUACCAGUGAAGAUGCCGGUUACCCGCGACAGGACGGAAAGACCCCAUGGAGCUUUACUGCAGUUUGAUAUUGCGUGUUUGUAUCACAUGUACAGGAUAGGUAGGAGCCGAAGAUACCGGGACGCCAGUCUCGGAGGAGGCAACGGUGGGAUACUACCCUUGUGAUAUGACCACUCUAACCCGCUGCUCUUAGCGAGCAGGGAGACAGUGUCAGACGGGCAGUUUGACUGGGGCGGUCGCCUCCAAAAAUGUAACGGAGGCGCCCAAAGGUUCCCUCAGAAUGGUUGGAAACCAUUCGUAGAGUGUAAAGGCAGAAGGGAGCUUGACUGCGAGACCUACAAGUCGAGCAGGGACGAAAGUCGGGCUUAGUGAUCCGGUGGUUCCGCAUGGAAGGGCUAUCGCUCAACGGAUAAAAGCUACCCUGGGGAUAACAGGCUUAUCUCCCCCAAGAGUUCACAUCGACGGGGAGGUUUGGCACCUCGAUGUCGGCUCAUCGCAUCCUGGGGCUGUAGUCGGUCCCAAGGGUUGGGCUGUUCGCCCAUUAAAGCGGUACGCGAGCUGGGUUCAGAACGUCGUGAGACAGUUCGGUCCCUAUCCGUCGCGGGCGUUGGAAAUUUGAGAGGAGCUGUCCUUAGUACGAGAGGACCGGGAUGGACACACCGCUGGUGUACCAGUUGUUCUGCCAAGAGCAUCGCUGGGUAGCUAUGUGUGGACGGGAUAAACGCUGAAAGCAUCUAAGCGUGAAGCCCCCCUCAAGAUGAGAUUUCCCAUCACUUUAAGUGAGUAAGACCCCUGAGAGAUGAUCAGGUAGAUAGGUUGGGAGUGGAAGUACAGCGAUGUAUGGAGCGACCAAUACUAAUCGGUCGAGGACUUAACC
rnacentral:rRNA from 1 species